rnacentral:rRNA from 1 species
GACGAAACGCUGGCGGCGUGCCUAAUGCAUGCAAGUCGAGCGGGCUACAGUCUUCGGAUUGUAGCUUAGCGGCGAACGGGUGAGUAACACGUAGGUAAUCUACCCUUCAGAGGAGGACAACCUCAGGAAAACUGAGGCUAAACCUCCAUACGUUCAUAUGCAGGGAUGCAGAUGAAGAAAGAGUUACCCGUGAGGGUAGCUGCUGAAGGAUGAGCCUGCGGCCCAUCAGGUAGUUGGUGAGGUAACGGCUCACCAAGCCUAAGACGGGUAACCGGUCUGAGAGGAUGUCCGGUCACACUGGGACUGGAGACACGGCCCAGGACUCCUACGGGAGGCAGCAGCAGGGAAUCUUGGGCAAUGGGCGAAAGCCUGACCCAGCGACGCCGCGUGGAGGAAGAAGUCCUCGGGUCGGUAACGUACCGUACGGACGUCGGGGUACGGGAGGGUAAGGGAACGGGUAACCCCGGAACCGGUAACGUAAACGGGAACGGGACGGUAACCUAACCGUAGUCCGACGCACGCCGCGGAACGGACGUACGUAAGA